rnacentral:misc_RNA from 1 species
AAGAGACGUUGCCCUUCGGGGUAUACCUCCCACCCUUUGUUUAUUAUACCUUUGUUGCUUUGGCGGGCCCGUCCUCGGACCACCGGCUUCUGCUGGUCAGUGCCCGCCAGAGGACCUAAAACCCUGUUUGUUAAUAUUGUCUGAGUACUAUAUAAUAGUUA